rnacentral:rRNA from 1 species
CCCUUAGAUGUUCUGGGCCGCACGCGCGCUACACUGAUGCAUUCAACGAGUCUAAAACCUGCUCUGAUAGGGGUGGGUAAUCUUUUGAAUGUGCAUCGUGAUUGGGAUAGAUGAUUGCAAUUUUUCAUCUUCAACGAGGAAUGCCUAGUAAACGCAAGUCAUCAGCUUGCAUUGAUUACGUCCCUGCCCUUUGUACACACCGCCCGUCGCUCCCGAUUGAAUGAUCCGAUGAAUAUCAUGGAUUGAGGAUGCAAGUAGGUUCGCCUAUCUUCAUCUUCGAGAAGUGAAGUAAAUCUUAUCAUUUAGAGGAAGGAGAAGUCGUAACA